rnacentral:lncRNA from 1 species
GGGCUUUCCAAUAAGAAUUUCUCCUUACUGACGCGCAAUUAGGUGACCAAACCUCUCCUUAGACAGAACUUUCUAGACAUUGCCAAAGACAAAGCCUGCAGAAAGACAAAGGUAGGAGAAAUGGUGGUCACAAAUGUUCUUAACAUGAAUGCAGGAAAUGGUGAAUCUAGCUAUGCCAAUAACUCAUUCCUUCAGGUCUCUCCCUUUCUCUGUCUCUCUCACACACAGACACACAAAAACUUAACACACAAAGAGACUUGCCAAAGCUUGUCUGAUAUAUAUAUAUAUAUAUAGAGCAAAGAUCAAGAGCUUACCCCUUAUCUAACUCACCCGAACUCACCCCUCUUUAGCGACGGAC